GAUGAACGCUGGCGGCGUGCCUAAUACAUGCAAGUCGAGCGAACAGACGAGGAGCUUGCUCCUCUGACGUUAGCGGCGGACGGGUGAGUAACACGUGUAUAACCUACCUAUAAGACUGGGAUAACUUCGGGAAACCGGAGCUAAUACCGGAGAAUAUAUUGAACCGCAUGGUGCAAUGGUGAAAGACGGUUUUGCUGUAACUUAUAGAUGGAUCCGCGCCGCAUUGGCUGGUUGGUAAGGUAACGGCUUUCCAAGGCAACGAGGCGUAUCCGACCUGUUUGGGGGGUAGGCCACAUUGGAACGGGGACAGGCACCUUGCUCCUACGGGAGGCAGCAGUCUCGAAUCUGCCGCAGUGGGCGAAAACCUGACGGAGCAACGCCGCGUGAGUGAUGAAGGUGUUCGGAUCGUAAAACUCUGUUAUUAGGGAAGAACAAAUGUGUAAGUAACUAUGCACGUCUUGACGGUACCUAAUCAGAAAGCCACGGCUAACUACGUG
rnacentral:rRNA from 1 species